CCCAUGGGAAAUCAGACUGCCCAGCUCGCCCGGCAGCCACUGUUAGAGCCCCUAAAGCUCUGGCCCAAGGCUCUCUGACUGACUGCUUCCCAGAUCUCCUCAGCUUGGUGGCUGAAGACUGACACUGCCCGAUUGCCUUGGAAGCCCCCUGGACCAUCACGGAUGCCAACCUUCGGGUAACUCUCACAGUGGAGGAUUCCCAGCCAUAUGAAGACACCCUAGCUGGAUGAUCAGUUCUUGCUAAGAAUCUGACCCCUCAAACUACAAUCUCAAUGGACCAGACCCUACUUAGUCAUCUAUAGUACCCUAACUGCCAUCUGCCUACAGGACCCUCUCCAUUGGGUUCACUGUUCCAGAAUAAAGCUGUGUCUGUUGGAUA